GGCAGGGUUUGGAGGCUGCUGCCAUGUGCACAGCAGGAAGGAAGGCUCCGUGCCCAGAGGCCAGGGCCCUUGGGACCAAGAGGCAGGGAGCCAUGGGGCACUCAGCCCCUCCAGCCACAUGCUGAAACACUGCUGUGUGUGGGGGGGGCCGGGCGCAGAGCCAAGGUCAAAGGGCAGACCCAGGCCAUCGCUCAAGGCCAAAGCCACAGAGCUGGUCCGGAUGAGUUUCCCCAGACCCUCAGUGAGGACAGACAGGAGCCCUUGACCGAGUCCCCCGACCCCCUUUUGAGUCAGUCACUACCCCAGGAGCUCUCUCCCAGGGUGUGGGCGCCCUCACGUUCCACCCACCCUCCAGCCAUUCUUGCCAAACACCAGGUUGAGCACCCAUCCAGUAUAGCCAUCCACACGUAUCUGGACCCAGGGGAUCCUGCCUGAGUCUAGUCAGGAUUCACACCCGCUGGGCAAAGCCGAUGGCAGUCUCCUUAGAGAGUUCCAGCCGAAUGACCUCCACCGUUCCAUCCGAACGCUCGAACGCUGUGUUCCCAGCGGUCCCCCUGCCAGAGGAGGAUGUUUUCUAAAAGCCAUCUCUCGCUGUGAAGCAACAUGACUGAGGACCGCCCAUCCUUCUACCUGACUCAUCCAUAAGGAGAUUCCUGAACAAUGGUCCCUUAAGGCUAACGAUGUUUAUUUGAGGGGGGAGCUGCCGCUGCAGCAUGGCCGCUGACAGACGAGGAGCAUAGGUCCAUGCCUGGGAACCAAACCUGAACCGCCGAAGUGGAGCAUGCAGAACUUUACCGCUGGGCCACCAGGGCUGGCCUGAGAACCCUAUUCCUUGAGUGUUUUCUUCCUCACUUAUUCUACUCAAACCAGCAUUUGCCCCAAUCUUAUUAUUCAUGUUGUUUUAAUUUAUUAAACAUAUUUCUUAUCAGCCA
rnacentral:lncRNA from 1 species